CAUUUCUCUCCAACUCUGAAACACAGGCUAGAGGUUACUGCUUAUCUUCCAUCCCAGAAGGAGACUCUGAUCAGAGGAGAGCUUGGUAUUAUGCCAGGAUCUGAAUUGGAAACCACAGCCUUGAGACGAUGCCAACUGGGCCAAUUAAGAAGGUGUUGACGACGCUUCCCAGGAACGGGUUUCUAGAUAUUUUAACUUUGAUGGAAAAGUUUAAGCUUCUAAAAAUCCCCAAGAACCUCAUAUUUUCCAGGGACUAGUGCCUGGACUCUUAAAGGCUUCCAAGAAAACAGGAUUCUCAGAAGCCCUUUCGACCUUCAAGCUCACUGGACCAAUCAAGAAGUAUAUGGAAAAACAAAAGCAAAGAAAACCAGGCCUUCUCAUACACCCUGAGAGACUUAGAUGAGUUAAGUGUUUGAAGAAAAAGCUUGCUGCCAAUUAGGACAGUGUACUGGCUUUGAGAAGUGAGCCUCAUCCUGUUCUCCCCACUUUUGGCUGCCAGGUAUGGCAAGGUUGGUCAGCAACAAUGUCAGCAUAAGGGGCCAAGAUUAGCACUGCCUCCCCCUGGAAUGUUCUCAGAAUUCUGGCACGCUUACUAACCUUCUUCAAAACUGGCAUACACUGGUAAUUACAAUCUAAAAUGCAAAUGCCCAUAAACUCUGUGAUCUUACUGCAAACCCUGCAAUGUGGCUCUCACGUCUGUCUUGGAGACAAGAAAGCUAAGACUCCGAGGAAUCAAGAAAUUCGUGGGAAGUUCAGUUGCACCAAGAAGUUCAUGGGAAGUAUGAAUCAGACAGACUUGAACUUGGGUACUCUUAUCAACACUUGGGAGUUCCUAAGAACAGGUGAAGGUGAGGUCAUGACCAACACGGUUGGAGAGUCCUGUUGCUCCCAGCAUUAACCCUUCAGCUACUGGGCUCCAGUAUUGAUGGAAUCCUGCAAUAGAGAUCCUCCUCUAGGGGGAGGGAAUUCCAACAAAUAGCUCCUGACAAAUGGCAAAGGAAAUGGUGAAAAACAGCAAAGACAUUUAAUCAGCAUAUCUAUGACAGUGAGACAAAGGAGACCUGCACCCUUAUCUCUGUUCCUAGGAAUGCUGAUUUAACCUCUCAGGUUAUAGCAGAAAGGGACAAAGGGUGGUGCAAAUAAUUACACAUAAUAUGUCUUAGUCAAAUGGUGGUUCCAGGGCUGGAGAGAUGGCUCAGUGGUUAAGAGCCCCAGCUGCUCUUCCAGAGGUCCUGAGUUCAAUUCCCAGACCACAUGGUAGCUCACAACCAUCUGUGAUGGGAUCCGAUGCCCUCUUCUGGUGUGUCUGAAGAUAGAUACACUGUACUCAUACACAUAAAUAAAUAAAUCUUU
rnacentral:lncRNA from 1 species